rnacentral:rRNA from 1 species
UUCGGUGGUUAUCGACGUUGGGUCACACCCGUUCCCAUUCCGAACACGGCAGUUAAGCCAAUAGUCGCCGAUGGUACUUGGCCUCCGGGCCCGGGAGAGUAGGUCGCCGCCGGAU